AUUGAACGCUGGCGGCACGCCUAACACAUGCAAGUCGAACGAGUGCCGGACGGGUGAGUAACGUCUGGGACACUGCCCGACGGAGGGGGAUAACUACUGGAAACGGUAGCUAAUACCGCAUCCCAUCGGAUGUGCCCAUAUGGGAUUGGCUAGUAGGUGGGGUAAAGGCUAACCUAGGCGACGAUCCCUAGCUGGUCUGCGAGGAUGACCAGCCACACUGGAACUGAGACACGGUCCAGACUCCUCCGGUAGGCAGCAGUGGGGAAUAUUGCACAAUGGGCGCAAGCCUGAUGCAGCCAUGCCGCGUGUAUGAAGAAGGCCUUCGGGUUGUAAAGUACUUUCAGCGGGGAGGCGUUACUCGCAGAAGAAGCACCGGCUAACUCGGUGCCAGCAGCCGCGGUAAUUC
rnacentral:rRNA from 1 species